GACGAACGCUGGCGGCGUGCUUAACACAUGCAAGUCGAACGGACAGGCCAUGCUUUUGCGGGGUGCUCGAGUGGCGCACGGGUGAGUAACACGCGAGUAACCUGCCCCUGACUUUGGGAUAACUCCAGGAGACUGGGGCUAUAACAGCGUAGAAGAUAUUGCUCCACGUGGGUGGUUGGUAAGUUUCGGCGUUGGGGGCGGUUAUAGAUGGAUCCGCGCCUCAUCAGCUUGUUGGUCAGGUAACGGCUUACCAAGGCUACGACGGGUAGGCGGCCUGAGAGGGUGACCGGCCACAUUGGGACUGAGAGACGGCCCAGACGCCUACGGGAGGCAGCAGGCGGGAAUAUUGCGCAAUGGGCGGAAGCCUGAGGCAGCAACGCCGCGUGCGUGAUGACGGCCUUCGGGUUGUAAACCGCUUUCGCCGGUGACGAAGCGUGAGUGACGGUAAUGGGUAAAGAAGCACCGGCUAACUACGUG
rnacentral:rRNA from 1 species